ensembl:lncRNA
CCAACUGUCUGCAAACAUGGAUCUCUGAUGCAGCCAGUGCGGUUGGGAGAUUCUUACGGGUGCCAAGUUUGCAGAAAAUUUGGCGAUUACCCAGCCAUUGUUGCACAUGUUCAAACACAUGACAAAGCAGCCGUAUCUCACAAUGGCUACAAAAUCUAUAGGUGCCAACACAACUGUGCCAACACAAUAUCUCCACACUACCACUGUGUGUGCUCAACCAUUACUGGCAGCAAGACUUCAUGCAUAAAGCACCUGCAGACCUGCCCUGGCAUGAGGACACCACCUCCAUCUCAAGGCCUCAGCACGCCGAGCCCAACCCAACAUUAUUACAUUCUAUGUUCUACAGUACUCCUGGUACAUUACCAUGGACCCGCACUUCGAUUUCAACGUUUUGGAUAUGCCUCAUCUCAGGAGGUGGUGGUGCAAGCUCCUUUUGGACAACUACGGGAUUGAAGGGUAUGGAUCUUAACCUACAAAUGCAAAAUAAAUACAUUUUUCAUGUUGGCUUGGCAACCCAGUGUGUGUGUGUGUGUGUGUGUGUGUGUGUGUGUGUGUGGUGUGUGUGUUUUUUUUUCUGUCUUUCUUUCCCUUUCUUUCUACUGCAGAUGUGGCAAAAGAUUCUGUCAUUUCACCCAAGAAGGACACCAGAUGGUGAAUGGACUCCUGGCACCGGUGUUCCGGGUAACACGGAAGCAGAAGGUUCUGACCAAGGUAAGAAGUUAUGUUUCUUAUAUACACCUAUUGCUGUAAUAUUACUUUAUAUACACAUCUUUUGCAGCUAUUACAGCUGUAACUCAUCUGGGAAGGCUCUCCGACAAGUGUAGGACGUGUGUGUUGUACAUGUCUGUAUCAGUAUGUUAAUGUUUUACGCUGUGUGUGUUGAGUGAAUGUGUCUGAGCGAGUGUAAAUUUGUGUACCAGCAUAUUAAUUUACUGCACUGUGUGUGUGUGUGUGUGUGUGUGUGUGUGUGUGUGUGUGUGUGUGUGUGUGUGUGUGUGUGUGUGUGUGUGUGUGUGUGUGUGUGUGUGUGUGUGUGUGUGUGGCACCUACACCGUUCAAAAAACGCUGGCCUGACGACCAGGAGGAUAUAAAUGACUAAAAAGUAAUCAUUCCUGUUUAUAAUCUAUAUUUCUCAAUAAAAAAAAAAAUGAGUAAAAAGUGUCUCUCUCUCUGGGCCCCCGAAAUAUUGUAGAAGGGGCCCCUGCGAGAUGUUUGGCUGUGCCCCCCCCCCCACACACACACACACACACACACACACACAUCUGCUCUGCCUCUGGGUCCCAAUUCUGGGGGCCCUCUUCUCCGUCCCCUUAAUUUUGUACUUUUUUUUGUGUUAACUUAUACCUGCCAAUGCCUCUUGUGUUUCCCAUUUUUAAUAAUAAUUUUAUCCCUUAAUGUUAUUGCACAUAUUUUGUAUUUACUUUUUUAUUUACUUUAAAUGCUUUGUGUAAUGACCUUCCCUUUCUCUAUAAUAAAAAAAUGUAGCCUACCCUUAUGGCCUGAGUCAUGUUUCCCUUACUAAGAAUUCCCUAUCGUAUGCAUAAGUAUUGUCUGUAAACAAUACUGUAAAUACUGUAAAAAGUGGAAUAGGGGCGAAAAUGUACAAUUCUAAGGCUUGUAUCCUUUAAGUAACUUUACUUUGUACCUCUGUAAAGCCAAGUAUAUGCAUUUGACAUCACAGUUAUCAGUAAAUGCAAAUUCGGUUUCUCUUCAUUACUCUUGUGUCAGCCUGACAUUUUCAGAGUAAAUUCCAAUCAAUAUUUUUGUGAAUAUUAAGCCAGAAUUUAAAUGACACCGCCCAUGAGCAAAAUAUUACACUAACUUUUUAACUCCACUGUUACAGUAAAUUGACUCCCUCCCGUAGCCUACAAACACCA